rnacentral:lncRNA from 1 species
AUAUAAACUAGAGGCUCUCAAGAGCCAGUGUCGCUCACCUUGGUCUAUGUGCAUAUUAAACAAUGGACACAGAUAAAUUCAUGACAAAUUGUGUUUUAGUGAUGGUGAUGUGUUUGUAGAUCUUACUUUACUGAACAUUCUUGUUGCUACAAUUAUCUAUAUCUAUAAUGAACUUUGCCCAGUAAUUACAGUGGAAAAUAUUUUCUAAAAAUUUACAAAAA